GAUGAACGCUGGCGGCGUGCCUAAUACAUGCAAGUCGAGCGAAUGGAUUAAGAGCUUGCUCGUAUGACGUUAGCGGCGGACGGGUGAGUAACACGUGGGUAACCUGCCCAUAAGACUGGGAUAACUCCGGGAAACCGGGGCUAAUACCGGAUAACAUUUUGAACCGCAUGGUUCGAAAUUGAAUGGCGGCGUCGGCUGGCACUUAUGGAUGGACCCGGGUGCUUUUCGCUAGUUGGUGAGGUAACGGCUCACCAAGGCAACGAUGCGUAGCCGACCUGAGAGGGUGAUCGGCAACACUGGGACUGAGACACGGCCCAGACGCCUACGGGAGGCAGCAGUAGGGAAUCUUCCGCAAUGGACGAAAGUCUGACGGAGCAACGCCGCGUGAGUGAUGAAGGCUUUCGGGUCGUAAAACUCUGUUGUUAGGGAAGAACAAGUGCUAGUUGAAUAAGCUGGCACCUUGACGGUACCUAACCAGAAAGCCACGGCUAACUACGUGCCAGCCGCCGCUGUAA
rnacentral:rRNA from 1 species